rnacentral:rRNA from 1 species
CAAUAGCGUAUUUUAAUGUUGUUGCAGUUAAAAAGCUCGUAGUCGAACUUCUGGCCGGAAUACUAAGCCUACGGCUUUAGCUAGUCCAGGUCAUCCGCUUGUGAUAAUUUGUCGUGAUUCAUCUCUCGCUUAUAGGAUCAGGCACUUUACUUUGAAGAAAUCAGAGUGUUUCAGGCAGGCUUUCGCUUGAAUACACCAGCAUGGAAUAAUAGAAUAGGACUGCUAUCUUUUAAAUGGUUCAAAGACAGUAGUAAUGAUUAAUAGGAACAGUUGGGGGCAUUUGUAUAUAAUAGUCAGAGGUGAAAUUCUUCGAUUUAUUAUAGACAAACUAAUGCGAAGGCAUUUGCCAAGGAUGUUUUCAUUGAUCAAGAACGAAGAUCA